rnacentral:rRNA from 1 species
GGCAGCAGUGGGGAAUUGUUCGCAAUGGGCGCAAGCCUGACGACGCAACGCCGCGUGGAGGAUGAAGGUCUUCGGAUUGUAAACUCCUGUUGCCAGGGACGAAUGGCUACGACCUAACACGUCGUAGUGUGACGGUACCUGGUGAGGAAGCCCCGGCUAACUCUGUGCCAGCAGCCGCGGUAAUACAGAGGGGGCAAGCGUUGUUCGGAAUUACUGGGCGUAAAGGGCGCGUAGGCGGCCUGUUAAGUCGAACGUGAAAUCCCCGGGCUCAACCCGGGAACUGCGUCCGAUACUGGCAGGCUUGAAUCCGGGAGAGGGAUGCGGAAUUCCAGGUGUAGCGGUGAAAUGCGUAGAUAUCUGGAGGAACACCGGCGGCGAAGGCGGCAUCCUGGACCGGCAUUGACGCUGAGGCGCGAAAGCCAGGGGAGCAAACGGGAUUAGAUACCCCGGUAGUCCUGGCCCUAAACGAUGAAUGCUUGGUGUGGCGGGUAUCGAUCCCUGCCGUGCCGAAGCUAACGCAUUAAGCAUUCCGCCUGGGGAGUACGGCCGCAAGGCUGAAACUCAAAGGAAUUGACGGGGGCCCGCACAAGCGGUGGAGCAUGUGGUUUAAUUCGACGCAACGCGAAGAACCUUACCCAGGCUCGAACGGCAUCUGACAUCCUACGAAGGUAGGCUCCCGCAAGGGCAGGUGUCGAGGUGCUGCAUGGCUGUCGUCAGCUCGUGUCGUGAGAUGUUGGGUUAAGUCCCGCAACGAGCGCAACCCUUGUCUUCUGUUGCCAUCAGGUCAAGCUGGGCACUCUGAAGAGACUGCCGGUGACAAACCGGAGGAAGGUGGGGAUGACGUCAAGUCAGCAUGGCCUUUAUGUCUGGGGCCACACACGUGCUACAAUGGCAGGUACAAACCGUCGCGAGACCGCAAGGUGGAGCUAAUCGGAGAAAGCCUGUCUCAGUUCGGAUUGUAGGCUGCAACUCGCCUGCAUGAAGUU